rnacentral:rRNA from 1 species
UACAGAGGUCCCAAGCGUUGUUCGGAUUCACUGGGCGUAAAGGGUGCGUAGGUGGCCAGGUAAGUCUGAUGUGAAAUCUCGGAGCUCAACUCCGAAACUGCAUUGGAUACUAUCUGGCUGGAGGGUCGGAGGGGGGACUGGAAUUCUCGGUGUAGCAGUGAAAUGCGUAGAUAUCGAGAGGAACACCAGUGGCGAAGGCGAGUCCCUGGACAUUUCCUGACGCUGAGGCACGAAAGCCAGGGGAGCAAACGGG